rnacentral:lncRNA from 1 species
CUUAUUUUUCAGCUUUAGCAGUCUGCGCGGAAACGAUCAUAACUGGAGUUCCGGGAAUCCGUUUGAGGCGUUCUAAAAAUCGCCGGAAAGCUAAGAGAGAGAGCUACGACUUUCGUGUUGGAGUCGAAGUCAGAUUCGGAGCUCAAAAUUCCAGAAUUUCGUUUCAAGUUACAGCAUUAGAAUUUUAUUUUAGUGUUGGGUCAUGUUGUGGGCCUGGGUUAUAUUUUCGACCCAAUUGGGUUUUGAACCGGAUCCAUUUUUUAUCUUUUUAAGGAGAACGUGUGUACUGUU